CCUAUGGGAUUCCAAGCCUCACAAGCUGAAAAGGACUAGGAAGCUUCUCAGAGAUUGCUGUCUUUUCUAUUUUCUUUGGCUUUCUUGAGCUGAGGGUAUUUGGCAGUUGAAAUGAAGAUUCCAACGACUGACAAGAUUUUUUCUGCUUGUACGUUGGUUAUGUGAAUGGAACUCCGAAAUGUUUAUAGUGACACUGUUAUAGAGAAUGGAAGCUGGACUUACACUGGAAGACUGGAAUGGCAUACCCUAAAAGCCUAUAAAAGUAGUCGUCUUCAAGUUGGAACAACCUUUCUCUGCUACCCAAGUCCAGAAAGUAAUAAACCAAGACCACCAGCUAAGAUAUUAUGUAAUUGCCAUGGAGAGAAGCAUUGAAUGCCUUCAGGAAAUGUGGAUAUGACAACAGUUAAGUAAGGUGAACUGGGAAUCUUGAGCAUGAGAACAAUGAUGAUAAUAACCCUGAAAUCGUUUGUCCCUGAUCAUUGAACUGCUGUGGUUUAAUCGUGUCCAAGAUCCAAGAUACAGCUGGGAUUGUUCUGCAAUAAAUUCUUCAGAUUCAGCAGGAGGGAGCCCAUAGAUGUUAAAGUAACUCCAUCCCUGCAGCCAGUGGUGCCACCACUUUAAAGAAAGGAUUCUUUCUUCUGGAUCACUCAGGGUUUUCCCAACAGCCAGCCCUAUUGUACAGGUAGAAGCAGCAGUUGAUGCUACGCAGAAAGACAAGCCAACAAGACAUUGCUCAAGUGAAACAAAGUGGAAAGUAACUAUGGUGAAUAUCAUUUGUAUUGUCCAUUUGCUUAAAAUUGCAGAGAACUUCACGCAGCACCUAGGAGAAAGCAUGUUCUAGAAGGGAUUCUAUUGUCAUCCCAAUGCCAAAAGGGUAAUCCUGACAUCAUUUCAAGAGGGCUGUGCUGUGAGGUCCACUCCUACUGUUUGCAUGGGAAAAUAAGAAAUGUUAUGCCUUGUUGUAAGGCCCUGAAAGGCUGCCCUUGCUAGUCAGGAAAAUAGAAGGAGGCAUUCCAGAGUGCAGGUCAUCUUGCAGUUUACAUUGGAGCUCACAGGAUUGCAAAGCAUCCCCAGUCUGGGAGAUAGCGCAGCUGUCCCCAACAGAUUUUUAAAUGAGUUUUCUUUCCUUUAAAAUUAAGUCCAGAAUGAGUGUUUUUCUCGACAAAUGACUGAUGGUUCUGUAACUCCAGACAUCAGGAAUGCUAGCACAAAUCCCAUACAUGUUUCUAAAUUAGUACACAAAAUGACCAUAUCAUCUGAUCAUAAUUUAAUGAAUUAUUCAGGAUUCAGAAAGAAACAGAUCUUUCAGGUAGUUUCACUUAAUUUAAGAACUUGUAAUGAACAGGAAUUUUUAACUUGCUUGAAAUCUCAUUUCAAACGGCUCUAGCUAUAACCUAACCUUCUGACUGUGUACACUCAUACUGCCAACAGCUAGAAAUUCAAGUGCACAGUGCUUUUCUGUCCUCAUAAUAAACUUGAAAUCUCUCUGGUAUGGACCUCAGCCUGAAAUGUUAUACAUGCCUUUUCUUGUCCUGACGUUGGCUGUCACAGUGGCACUCUCCAACAUACAGGAAAGCAUCUUUGUUUUCUAUCAGCCUCCAUUUUAGUAUAUCAAGGUGAAGAAUAGAGUUUUUAAGCAUAUGCACUGCUGCAUGUGUUCCGUCUCUAUGUCUGCUCUGCCAUGUGUACAUAUCACCACCUAGGAAACAGGUACAGACAUUGUCUUUAGCUAAGGGAAACAGGAGGUUUAGGAAUUACAUCUUUUUCAGAAAGGGACCAUUAGGAUACUGCUCAGAGAGUCAAGGUAUUUGGUAUCCCAGUGUUACAUGGCAGAAGCCUCCCUCCUGCAUCUUGGACAAGGCUUAUACUUAGAAAACUAUACUGUUGGGGGUCGAGCAUGGGCACUUGAACAGGCCUACA